GGCAGUGGUAGCUCAGUGGACAAGAUGUUGGACUUCUAAUCAGAAGGUUGUAAGUUCAAAUCCCAGCACUGCCA